AUGCUAUUUUAUAGCUUCAAGAAGAGUACAUGAAUUCCAAAAGGAAAAAAGCAACUUUAUGCAAGUGCUUUGCUUAAAAAUAAUGUGUACAAAAAAUCAUCCAUGGCUAGAGACUCUUAUCACUAUUAAUGAUAACAAGGGAACUUAUCUCUACAGGAAAGAGCUUGAACCUCACUGAACACUGGAAUUCAGACAAGAGGUGAUGAGUGUGAUAUAUUUCAGAGCAGGGGUGAAAAGCAAAUGGUCCCUAUUCAGGGAGUACAAACUCUGAGAGUAUUUGGAAAGAAAAGUGUGGGGCUGAGCUUUGCACCACCAAAGCCCAACCAAGUUUCCUCUUUGCCCACUCCCUCAGCCAUGAGGCCAGAGAGAGAAGAGGCUGGACGUCAAAGAAUGGUGAAAAAAACUGAAGAAGCUGUCAAGAUAUCACCAAUAAAAACAGAACAGAAAGUUUGAAAAUCCAAGGUGUAGAAAAUGAAUUCAACUUGUUUCGAAUGAGCCUAAAAGAUAGAGCCAAAAUCAGCAGGUGAAAGUUUCAGAAAGACCAGGCACUGUUAAAAUCAAGGAGGAUCUCAAUAACCAUGGCUCUGCAAAGGAAAAGGACAACACAAUGAGCUCCCUCUGAAGGUACCCUUGCAACAGGCU
rnacentral:lncRNA from 1 species